GAUGAACGCUGGCGGCGUGCCUAAUACAUGCAAGUCGAGCGAACAGACGAGGAGCUUGCUCCUCUGACGUUAGCGGCGGGCGGGUGAGUAACACGUGGAUAACCUACCUAUAAGACUGGGAUAACUUCGGGAAACCGGAGCUAAUACCGGAUAAUAUAUUGAACCGCAUGGUUCAAUAGUGAAAGACGGUUUUGCUGUCACUUAUAGAUGGAUCCGCGCCGCAUUAGCUAGUUGGUAAGGUAACGGCUUACCAAGGCAACGAUGCGUAGCCGACCUGAGAGGGUGAUCGGCCACACUGGAACUGAGACACGGUCCAGACUCCUACGGGAGGCAGCAGUAGGGAAUCUUCCGCAAUGGGCGAAAGCUUGACGGAGCAACGCCGCGUGAGUGAUGAAGGUCUUCGGAUCGUAAAACUCUGUUAUUAGGGAAGAACAAAUGUGUAAGUAACUAUGCACGUCUUGACGGUACCUAAUCAGAAAGCCACGGCUAACUACGUG
rnacentral:rRNA from 1 species